rnacentral:ncRNA from 2 species
UGCGGCGUUCUGCUGGCAAAACAUAGCUCGGUUAUGUCAAUGGCUAUUGGAUUGGUUCAUGAAGCGAAAAAUAGUUUACUGUGUCACUCGUACCGAUAACCGCAUCAGGUCUUCUAGGUAAGUAGCCUAUGGCCAUUGAGGCAUGAUAGUUCAGGGAAUUCGGCCAAUUAGAGCUGUAACUUCGGGAUAAAGCUUGGCUCUGAUGAAAAUCAGAACCGAUUGUUACGCGGAGAGCCCAACUGUUUAAUAAAAACGUAGUGUCGCGCUGUGGUAGUAUAGCCAGUGAACGCGACAUGAAUCCUGCUCAGUGCUGUGUCUGUUAAUAUGGUUCAAGCCAACGAAGCACCGGUAAAUAGCUGGGGUAACUAUGACUCUUAUCAAAGUAGCGAAAUACCUCGUCACUUAAUUAGUGACCUGCAUGAACGGAGCUAUGAGGUUCUCACUGUCCCAAACUGUCUCUCAGCGAACCAACUGUAGUGGGAACGGUCACUAGAUAUCCAGCGGGGAAAGAAGACCCUGUAGAGCUUCACUUUGGUCUAGUCUUGUAUAGUUCCUGCGGGGGUGUAGACUAGGUGGGAGAGCAAUCGAUUCUGAAAAACCACUACCCUGUUUGGAAUUAUGCUUACCUAUCACAAGGAAUAGGACUAGAUAGAAAGUUUGGCUGGGGCGGCACACCUUCGAAAGAGCAGCGAAGGUGUCCUAAGUUGAGCUCAGUGAGGACAGAAAUCUCACGUUGAGGAUAAGGCCAAAAGCUCAAUUUACUGUGCCUUUUUGUACUAGGAUCAGUUACGAAAGUAAGGCCUAACGAUCCCUAAAUAGCCUCAGGUGCGUGAGGAUUGGGGUGACAGACAAGUUACCUCCGGGACAACUGGCUUGUGGCUGCUAAGAGAUCAAAUCAACGCAGCUUUUUGAUUCUUCGAUGUCGGCUCUUCCUAUCCUAGUGAUGUACAAGUUGCUAAGGGUCGGAUUGUUCACCCGUAUUAGGGAUCGUGAGCUGGGUUUAGACCGUCGUGAG